rnacentral:rRNA from 1 species
AUACGAAGGGGGCAAGCGUUGUUCGGAAUAACUGGGCGUAAAGCGCACGUAGGCGGAAUGUUAAGUUAGAGGUGAAAUCCCAGGGCUCAACCCUGGAACGGCCUUUAAUACUGGCAAUCUAGAGACCGAGAGAGGUGAGUGGAAUUCCGAGUGUAGAGGUGAAAUUCGUAGAUAUUCGGAGGAACACCAGUGGCGAAGGCGGUUCACUGGCUCGAUACUGACGCUGAGGUGCGAAAGCGUGGGGAGCAAACAGGAUUAGAAACCCUAGUAGUCC